GCCCGUGCGGGUGUUGGGUCCUUGAGAAGCGAUCAUGACGGAUGACAAUAACUGGAUGCCGACGCCGCUGGGUGGUGUGGGAGGCGGGGGCGCUGAAGCUGCGCUCGACGGGGGCGAUUGGAGGGCUCAAUUGCCCCCCGAUUCGCGGGACAGGAUCGUCCACAAGAUGUGAGUGCCUCCUUCCUUCGCUUGGGUUUUUGAUGUUUCAUCGUUUCGCAGGGUGAAGCGUGGAGUUCAUGAGGGAUCUUUGCUUAGGAGCGAUUUCCGAGGGUUUAGUAUGUUAAAGGAAGUAAUGGUUUUGCAAUAUGGUCCUGUUAUUUGGUCGAGGCGCGACAUGAAUUCUGAGGAAUCUUUUGCUGUAAAUUCUGUUUGGUUGGAUAGUUUUGGUUAGGUUUAGUAUGUAUCAAUGUGGGAUUUAGCUGGUAUGUAGGGGCGCAACUCUUGUUAUUGUAAUUUGGAUGUAAUUCUUUCUUAAGUGUAGAGGUAAGGUUUGGCAGGAAAUCAAUUGCAGGAUGAUUUCCCGUUAUGCUGGUGACAAAAAUUUAUGUAUCUGGAACCUGAGGAUUUUUAAGCGUCUUAUUGCUUUUAGGUUGUACUAUUUUCUAUUAAUCUCAAAUUUAUUGGUCCAUAUACGCCGUUGCUGGAAGACAUACGUGGGCAACAAGGUGCGAUGGCGGGUUGGGGGUAAAGUCGUUGGCUCUUGUAUAUACAGCUUUGCUUGGG
rnacentral:lncRNA from 1 species